UCAGUGCAAAUGUUUUCAUGGAUGGGGAGUAGGACUUGGUGGUAUAAUAUUUCUAAUAUACAAGUUAGCAUUACAGCUUGUCCUUACAGAUUGAUGUUGGAAAUGGCUAUUGGAGUUGACUUUUAAAGAUAACAAAUACUGUGGCUGCAGGAAAUAAUUGUGUGAUGAAUUCUCGUACCAAGUUUUUGCAAGGGUUCUUAAUGUAUAGACAGCAUGUCACUCUCUCUCAACAUAAGGCAUCUGAUUUAGCUUCCCCAUUCUGACCAGACGUGGCUACAAAUACAUACAUCCUGCACUACAAAACAGACGCUCCACUUUUGCAAGAGUUUUACUUCCAGUCUGAAGAAGACCAAGAGUGACCAUAUUUCUAUUCCCAGAUCACCCUUGGAGGUCUUUCGAAAUGGACAGAAAGGUUUCCAAUAUGAAUGGUUCAUAUAACUCUUGUAAAAACCAGUUAAAGAAUGUAUUUGAUAAAUUGUAAUAUUUUUAAUGCAAAGAUUCUCCAUUUCAACAAGAGUGGAAGUUCUAUUUACGGGUUAUCUAGUGUUUUGAAUUUUUACCAAACUUUCUUUUUCUCUCUACCAUUAAAUGCCAUGGAAUUUUUUUACUUGUGCACCUUAACUUUUGUCUAACAGAUAUAAUGGUUCUUAUCUAGUAAUCAUUUCCAUUAAUUAAGAA